rnacentral:misc_RNA from 1 species
CGGCAGUUCGAGUCUGCCCGGGCCCACCAUUCGCUGGGCUCAUGGUGGGCCCGGGCAUUCUCUUGGUUUGUUUGCUCUUCCUCGCGAUCUUCGAUCGCUGCGGGGAGAGCGGGCCGGGCCCCGAGGUGCGAUCGAACGUCGUUAGUUCAGUCGCCGGCUUUUUGCUGGCGAUCGAAACCUGAUGGGGCUGUAGCUCAGCUGGGAGAGCACCUGCUUUGCAAGCAGGGGGUCAGCGGUUCGAUCCCGCUCAGCUCCACCAAAGGUUUUGGUGUUGACGGCUGGCGGAUCUGUUUCUUGUCUUUGGGGAAAAAUAGUUUGCAUCGUCUCUUUUGAGAGGCAGAUGCCUGUUCUGCUUACAUUGUGAAGAGAAGAUAUGUCUGGAAGCUUCCAGGUGUCGAUGGCGAUCGAAGGGUUGCCGGAGACGUCCGAGCCCAGUCCUGAAGAAGCCAUGGAUGGUCUAGCCGACCGGAGAUGGAAGAGGGGCUGGAGGUAGGAGGGAAGUCUUGUCGUUCAAGGCAUGGAUGUUGUUGGGGUGUCCUUCGGAAUGCCCUUCUGGUGUUCAUGACUGAUUGGUGUUGCCUGACCGCGCAUCACCGGACAGAUCUCGAGAAGCUGGUCUUAAGAUUUGGCGCAAGCGAACCGCUCGGCGUGGUUCCAAUAAAGCGACCAAAUCGAACACGUCGAUGGCAUCUGAAUUUGGAUUGGGUUGUAAAAGGUAGCCCUAUCCGCCGCGCCCCUUCGGGGCGACGGCUAAGGAUGAGCAUUGGCAAUGAGAACGAUCAAGUGUCAAAAGGGCAUUUGGUGGAUGCCUUGGCAUGCACAGGCGAUGAAGGACGUGAUACGCUGCGAUAAGCCGUGGGGAGCUGCGAAUGAGCUUUGAUCCAUGGAUCUCC